CGGGAACAGGAGCGGGCAGGGGGGAGAUAAACUCGGGAUGAGGAGUCCCCGCUGCUCAUACCCCAGCACGGAGCUGCUUCUUCCCAGCCUUGUCCCAGGCGAAGCACUGGCUAGAAGAGAUGAGCUACUCAAAGCAUUCCCAAGGAGACUCAGAAACGGCAUGGGAUACAGCUAAGGAAUGGAUAGAAUGCAUAAUCAACACAAUCAGUGGGGAAAACUCUAUGGUAAGUCUCUCCAAGGCAAUGCUCUGGGGAUUUCCCUGAGGGGGAAGGAUUCAGAGGAUUCCACAACUCCCCUGUUUUUUCUUACAAUGAAGACUUCCCCAAUGGACUUCUACAGACACUUAAAUAAACAGGGAAAUGUGUAAAACGAUAAAAACAAUUAUUACAAUCUAACAAAUUCCUUUAACAAAAGAUGAAACCCAUCUCGUCAGCCCUCAUUAUCAGAAAAGUUCAUUGAUCCAAUCUGAGUUCUUUUUCACCUUUAAGUCUUUUAUUUGUUCCCUCAGCUUCUGGAUACUUGCAUGGGUAGAUUUUGAGUAUGAAGAAAGGUUGAGGCAGCACAUCCUUUCAAAGUCUUGGCGGCCAUGUCCAUGGGCAAGCAGUAAAAAGUCUAUUGCUGCUUGAUUUUGCAAUGUUGCGUGCAGUCACGUCACUGACUGCAGUGGAGGUAGCGUUUGCCUGCUUACUCUGCCAACACUCUAGGUGAGAAAGCUCACCAAGAGCCUCAGCUGUG